GGAUAGCUCAGUUGGUUAGAGUGUGGUGCAGGUAACGCCAAGGUUGCAGGUUCGAUUCCUGUUGGGAACA